GUAGCAUAAUCACUUGUCCUCUAAAUAAGGACUAGUAUGAACGGUCAAAUGAGGACUUAACUGUCUCUUACAUUUAACCAAUAAAACUGAUCUCUCAGUUAAAAAGCUGAGAUAUAAACAUAAGACGAGAAGACCCUGUGGAGCUUCAAACCAAACCCAACCCUAAUGAGGCUAGGUUUUUAGUUGGGGCGACUUCGGAGUAUAAAAAAACCUCCGACACAAAUCAUAUUAAGACCAACACGUCAACAUAUUUUUCUCCUGACCCGGUAUUUACCAAAAUAUCCGAUCAAUGAACCAAGUUACCCCAGGGAUAACAGCGCCAUCCCCUUCUAGAGUCCUUAUCGACAAGGGGGUUUACGACCUCGAUGUUGGAUCAGGACACCCAAAUAGUGCAGCCGCUAUUAAAGGUUCGUUUGUUCAACGAUUAAUAGUCCUACGUGAUCUGA
rnacentral:rRNA from 1 species